UGCCCUAUCAAUGGGCAAAGAGACACUUGGUUGGAAUGCUGUUCUUAUAUCACGCAGGGGCAGAGCAUGUGGCAGUUCUUUGUCCUUCAUCUUGAGAUACUUGGCUUAUCAGCCAAAUCUGUUUUAUGCCUAAGACACAUAA